rnacentral:rRNA from 1 species
CCUACGGGAGGCAGCAGUGAGGAAUAUUGGUCAAUGGGCGGAAGCCUGAACCAGCCAAGUAGCGUGCAGGAUGACGGCCCUACGGGUUGUAAACUGCUUUUAUACGGGAAUAACGCGCCUUACGUGUAGGGCUUUGCAUGUACCGUAUGAAUAAGGACCGGCUAAUUCCGUGCCAGCAGCCGCGGUAAUACGGAAGGUCCGGGCGUUAUCCGGAUUUAUUGGGUUUAAAGGGUGCGUAGGCCGCAUGUCAAGCGUGCUGUGAAAUGUCCGGGCUCAACCCGGGCCUUGCAGCGGAAACUGGCGGGCUGGAGUGCGCGGGAAGCAGGCGGAAUUCGUCGUGUAGCGGUGAAAUGCUUAGAUAUGGCGAAGAACCCCGAUUGCGAAGGCAGCUUGCUGCAGCGGAACUGACGCUGAGGCUCGAAAGCGCGGGUAUCGAACAGGAUUAGAUACCCUUGUAGUC